CGUCGGUCGGGGAAUUAUCAUCCAAGCCUAUGGACGGACAAGAGUGUGCAAUCCCUCACGAGCACCUCCACAUUGCAAAAAGAAGAGGAACGUGAGAGAAUAAAUGUACUGAAGGAGCAAACCAGGAAGCUGAUACGCGAGAAGCAGCAAGUAGCAGAGCAACUUCAACUGAUCGACCACCUGCAACAGCUUGGCGUGGCUUACCACUUCAAA